rnacentral:lncRNA from 1 species
GGGCUGCCCCAUAAGUCCCCCCGCUGUGGGGCUGCCCCAUAAGUGCCCCAUAGGUCUGUUAGUUGUGGGGCUGCCCCAUAAGUGCCCCAUAGGUCUGUUAGUUAUGGGGCUGCCCCAUAGGGCCGCUGAUGCCCCCCGCCCCCCGCAGGGCCCCCCCCCCACUGCCGGAGCUGCAGCGCGAGCUGGAGGCGCUGACUCAGCAACUGGAGCGGCUGAGGGCGCAGGUGGGGGGCUGGGACCCACAAGUGGGGGGUGGGACCCACAAGUGUGGGUGGGGGGCUGUGGGACCCCUAUAUGUGGGUGGGGGGCUGUGGGACCCCCGGGUGUGGGGCUGGGGGACCCUGGGGUGUGGGGCUGGGGGACCCACAAGUUGGGGGUGGGACCCCCAUGUGUGGGUGUGGGGCUGUGGGACCCCCAAGUGUGGGGCUGGGACCCAUGGGUGUGGGGCUGGGGAGCCCACAAGUGUGGGCUGGGACCCCCAAGUGUGGGGUGGGACCCCCAAGUGUGGGUGAGGGGCUGUGGGACCCCCAAGUGUGGGGUGGGACCCCCAUGUGUGGAUGGGGGGCUGUGAGACCCCCAAGUGUGGGGCUGGGACCCCCAACUAUGGGGUGGGACCCCCAAGUGUGGGGCUGGGACCCCCAAGUGUGGGGUGGGCCCCCAUAUGAGGGUGUGGGGCUGUGGGACCCCCAAGUGUGGGGCUGGGACCCCCAAGUGUGGGGUGGGCCCCCAUAUGUGGGUGUGGGGCAGUGGGACCCCCAAGUGUGGGGUGGGGCCCCCAUAUGAGGGUGUGGGGCUGUGGGACCCCUAUGAACGCCCCCAGUCCGUCUAUGGGGCCGCCCCCCAACCACCCCCCCUUCCGCCCCACAGCGCCCCCCGGCGGCGCCCCCCCCCGCACCGCCGCCCCCCCGCGUCACGGCGGCGCUGCUGGCGGCUUUCGGGGCCGCUGAG